AUACGUAGGGGGCGAGCGUUGUCCGGAAUUAUUGGGCGUAAAGAGCUCGUAGGCGGCUUGUCGCGUCUGCUGUGAGAACCCGAGGCUCAACCUCGGGCUUGCAGUGGGUACGGGCAGGCUAGAGUGCGGUAGGGGAGAUUGGAAUUCCUGGUGUAGCGGUGGAAUGCGCAGAUAUCAGGAGGAACACCGAUGGCGAAGGCAGAUCUCUGGGCCGCUACUGACGCUGAGGAGCGAAAGCAUGGGGAGCGAACAGGAUUAGAUACCCUGGUAGUCCAUGCCGUAAACGGUGGCAACUAGAUGUAGGGACCAUUCCACGGUUUCUGUGUCGUAGCUAACGCAUUAAGUUGCCCGCCUGGGGAGUACGGCCGCAAGGUUGAAACUCAAAGGAAUUGACGGGG
rnacentral:rRNA from 1 species